GACGAACGCUGGCGGCGUGCUUAACACAUGCAAGUCGAACGGAAAGGCCUUUUCGGAGGUACUCGAGUGGCGAACGGGUGAGCAACACGUGGGUGAUCUGCCCUGCACUCUGGGAUAAGCCUGGGAAACUGGGUCUAAUACCGGAUAGGACCGCACUUUAGUGUGUGUGGUGGAAAGUUUUUUCGGUGUAGGAUGAGCCCGCGGCCUAUCAGCUUGUUGGUGGGGUAAUGGCCUACCAAGGCGGCGACGGGUAGCCGGACUGAGAGGUUGGUCGGCCACAUUGGGACUGAGGUACGGCCCAGACUCCUACGGGAGGCAGCAGUGGGGAAUAUUGCACAAUGGGCGCAAGCCUGAUGCAGCGACGCCGCGUGGGGGAUGACGGCCUUCGGGUUGUAAACUCCUUUCGCCAGGGACGAAGCGUUUUGUGACGGUACCUGGAGAAGAAGCACCGGCUAACUACGUG
rnacentral:rRNA from 1 species